GACGAACGCUGGCGGCGUGCCUAAUACAUGCAAGUCGAACGCUGAAGAGAGGAGCUUGCUCUUCUUGGAUGAGUUGCGAACGGGUGAGUAACGCGUAGGUAACCUGCCUUGUAGCGGGGGAUAACUAUUGGAAACGAUAGCUAAUACCGCAUAACAAUGGAUGACACAUGUCAUUUAUUUGAAAGGGGCAAUUGCUCCACUACAAGAUGGACCUGCGUUGUAUUAGCUAGUAGGUGAGGUAAUGGCUCACCUAGGCGACGAUACAUAGCCGACCUGAGAGGGUGAUCGGCCACACUGGGACUGAGACACGGCCCAGACUCCUACGGGAGGCAGCAGUAGGGAAGCUUCGGCAAUGGGGGCAACCCUGACCGAGCAACGCCGCGUGAGUGAAGAAGGGUUUCGGAUCGUAAAGCUCUGUUGUAAGUCAAGAACGGGUGUGAGAGUGGAAAGUUCACACUGUGACGGUAGCUUACCAGAAAGGGACGGCUAACUACGUG
rnacentral:rRNA from 1 species